GAUUUGUCCUAAGGCCAAGUAGGCCCGGGCCUAGGGCGGCAAGACAUUAGGGGCGGCAGCAAGGCGGCAGUCUAUAUGAUGGGUGCUGAGAAAGGGGCUGCUAGUAGUUACUACCAGGCCUGGGGCCUAGGGCGGCCAACACUGCAAAUCCGCCACUGCCCCCCCCCCCCCCCCUGUAAAAUAACAGAAUGAUAAAACUAAAAAAACUAUAUGAUGCACAUUAACAUGCAAACUUCCGCCGAAAAUUGAUUUAACGAGAUCUAGUAAGUAAUUUUUUUUUUAAUACGUCAUAGUCGGUUCGGAAGUCCUUCAUGGGCGAGUCCGACUCGCUUUUUUUUAAUUCGCAACUCUUGUGAUUUAAAACACUCCCUUCAGUCGUGCUUUAAUUUAUCGCCACUCGUUGCGAUUUUCGUACUAUUACUACACAUUCGGAUGAAGACACAUAAUUAUACACUGAACUACAUACUGAUUACUUUUGCUCUGAAGACUGGUAAUAGUUAUUUACGAAACAAGAGCAGAAAAUAGGAAAUUCGCAACGAGUGGUGGUAAAUUAAAACACGACCGAAGGAAGUGUUUUUAAUCGAUACGAGUUGCGAAUUACCUAUUCGCACAUGUAUCGUGCAACGUUAAGUUUUCGACAUACAUAUUACGUAAAGUGCUAAUUAUCGCACUAGUGCAGUAAAGAAGCGUCAUAUGUACGAAAUACCUGUGUAAAAAAAUAAACCAUACUGAAAAUACUCGUACUCAUAAUUGAAAUUCUUGUGUAGAUCUGUUCUACUUUUUAAAGUAGUUUUGUAAUUAAAAAAUAUUCCAUGUACGCACACAGUGACCACUCAUCACUAGUUAUUUAUGAGUGCAUCUGAAAAUGUAUUGAAAUGCCUUAAAAAUAGGGUCUUGUUCAGAUAUUUAUGAACAUUUUUUUCCAUCCGGUCCAUAUACGCACACAGUGACCACUCAUCACUAGUUAUCUAUGAGUGCAUCUGAAAAUGUAUUGAAAUGCCUUAAAAAUAGGGUCUUGUUCAGAUAUUUAUGAUCAUUUUAUUCUGGCCUACGUAUCUGAUAGCGACUGUACCCACUGUUGAUUCCGGCAUGGAAUGACCCGCUGAUCUAGGCCACAAUACUUCACAAGUACCUGCAUACUUCCUACAUGUUUAUCGAUUCUCUUGACCUAAAUAGCGUUGUCCAUUAGUGACAGAAUCGUCCGGCCGAUUGUACUUGUAACCCAUUGAGUGUCAAACACAUUUCUUGAAUAAUAGCAUAUAUAUGUAUAUACUUAAUAUAGAAAUUUUGCUACUUUUUUAGAAACGGUUAUACGAGUACUAGCGUCAAAUCCCAAUGUCGCUUAAGAGGAAAGAGGAUAAAUUAAAGGCAUAUUAUAUUGUGUUUUAAAUAGUCAUAAUAUAUUAUAUUUUAUGCUCAUAUUAUGCUUUAAAUGAGGCAGAUGGCAACCCUACCUCAGGCCCGGCAUGUCCAGCACGUCGGCCGCGCCCACCAGGUUGAAGUCGAUGGACGGGUUGUUGAGGAAGAACACCUGCAGCCCGCCCACCAGCGGGAUUUUGGUGAUGAGCGGCUUCAUCACUACGCGGACCAUACCGUGGAUCUAAACAACCAGUUUUUAUUUUAUUUUUUUAUUUUUCUAUACUGCUUGUAAAUUAUAAUAAAAGAGUGAAUAUCAGAUGAA